GCGGGAGGUUGGGCGAGACGCCUGGGAGGCUGUCGGGCGGAGGACCGGCCGACUUGGCCUGGCUGGCCCAGUAGGGAAGGACUGUGGCAGGGAGCGCGGAAGGUGGCGAAGGACGCGCAGGGCCGCGAACGCGGACGUGGUUCAGCCUGGGGCUGGAAUGGUGGUCGGGGUGCGAGCCCUCUUCUGGGCUGGCUCUGUGGAAGCGGUUGAGUUGCCCACCCCAGAGCCCUGAGUUCGCACUUGGCGGGCAGGCCCAGGGCUCACUUGCCUGUUUUAUCAGCAAAUGCCUCCAUGAGGGCGGUGCUGGUUGCAGCUCAGGUUUCGAUCUCGUCCAACAAAAUAACUGAACACUAUGUGUCCUUUUUUUUGUUUUUGUUUUUGAUGUGCAGGAUAAAUACUGAAAAUAGGACAGUGUUUAGUCACUGUAUAUUACGUUACCAUGUGCGGAAUAGCACAGAUGUUAAAAUUAUUGUCAUUUGUAGUUUUUCAGGUUGUUACAGCAGAUCACCAAAUUUCCUGAAAGAAAUUAAUUUCUUACAAAGACAGUGUGUGGUUUGUUAGUUCAGUGGAAAAUGUUCGGAAUUUUAGCUAAUAACAUCUGGUCAUAAGGUGUCACAAAAAAUGAUACCUUAGCAGUAGUCUCCAACUUAUCAGUGGAUUUUAAUUACACAAGUGCAUUUAUAGGUCGCCUCUUUAAAGUAUUUUCUAUAAAAGCAUGAUACAAAUGGAGGGUAAAAUAUCGGUUAUGAUCCUUAUCUAUAUAUACAGAGUCUGCUAAAAGUACGUGUACACAUGUAAGGAAGAGAAAAAGUUGUAAGUUAGCUGUGGUGGCGCACACAUCUUAAUCCCAGCGUUCUGGAGGCUGAAGCAGGAGGAUCAUUGCAAGUUCCAGACCAACCUGGGCUACAAAGGGAGCUGGAGACUAGCCUGAACUGCAUAGUGAGACCUUGUCUCAAAAAGACAAAAGGCAAAACAACAACAAAAAGAACCCUUGGUGAGAUUCAAGCUAGCCUUGGAAACACUUUACAAAGUGUUUACAAAGUGCUACAGCCCAGGCUGGUCUCAGAUUUGCAACCAUCUGCCUACUUUAAGCUUUCCAAGUGCUGGGAUUACAGAAGUGUGCUAGGGCGCCCAGCUCUAAGAGGCAGAUUCUUUAAAAAAAUAAAAAGUGUUCCAAAAGCUGCACCUGGUGCCAACUAACUAUGGUGCUUUGGAGGCUGAGGCAGGAGAAUUAUUUGAUGGCAGGAGUUUGAGACCAGACUGGGAAACAUAGCAGGACCUUUUAUGAAAAAUAAAGCAAAACAAAACAAAUAAAAUAAGGCCACAAAAAAAACCCCCACUUGGUUGAAUAUUUUAUUAAUAGUUAAUUUAUUGAGGCAUCAUAAGAUUAAUACGUUACCUUUGGUCUCUACAGUUGGAACAAGUACUCAAAGUGGUGCUUAUUAGUUUCCUAACAUUUGUUAGUACAUUGAACUGCUGCUGCAUGGGUCACCUUGGUCGCUAAGACUGCUGCCCAUGCAUUUUCAAUUUCUUCUCUAAGGGCCCGCAGUGUAGUGGGUUAGUGUAGCAUUGUAGUGUCCUGCGAUACAGGACAUCCUUUAGGGUCCUCCACAGAUAAAGUAUUAAAAUACUGAUACAAAUUUUUCUAAAAUUUGUGUACCUUUUUUUGGCAGAUUUUCUCUGUAUAUAUUUAUUUCAAGGCUAAUCAUUACCGAGCAGGUAGAGGAAGAUCUUAAUUGAUAUACAAUUACCUUAGGUAGGCAGACGGGGCACUUAGAGAAAAUCUUUUAUUCUUGGUGAAUUGAUAAGUCUUCCUGGGUAAUUAGGGAGGAUUCUGGAGGAGCAGGGAUAACACCCUUAUAUGUGAGAGUCAUAGUCAUUGAGACACAGAGGCAAAGAAGGAUGAGACCAGGUGGGGUUCUAUUGACUCAAUUUAGGAUCAGCCACUCCUCCAGCUCAGGGCUGGAGACAGCGAUCAACAUAGGUCAGUCCCAAAAGCCAAGUGUAGUAGUGCACCCCUGGAGUCCAAGCACUGGGGGGACUGAGGCAGGAGGAUUGCCACAAGUUUGAGGCCAGCCUGGAGUAUAUAGUGAACUCAAGGCCAGCCUGAACUAUGUAGUGAGACUGUCUCAACACACAUGCAAACAUUGGUCGGUCACAGUAUUUUCCUUAACAACUCCAUAUUUUUGGCAAAUUUCUGUAAACUUAUCCUUGAAUUCUGAAACCACACUUAGUCCUUGGUCAACUUCCUGUUGACAUUCUUGAAAUGAAAAUCUAGUCAGUAUAAACUGUGUCAAAUAUACUAAAUAUAUUUGUCAUACUGAACAGUUUCAGUACAUUCUCCAUUUACAAUUGUAUGGAAUUUAAAAAGUAAGGAAGACUUUGCCAAGGGAUAGGUGUUUUCUUCUGUUUUUUCCUCUUAGUCAAAGGCCCCUAGGCUGCAAUACAACUCUGGAAUCUAACCUCAUAUACAUAUAGUGAAAUUAAGUGGUCAGGCACUCCUCCUUAUUGCCAUGUUAUCUAGCAAGUAAAGACCUAAGAAGGUAGAGUAGCCUGUGGAAAACAGUUCGUCCUGACUAAAAAGCUGUCUUUAUCCAUGCCAGGGACAGGGUAUAUGACUCUCAUCUUGGGUUGGGCCAGGAGACACCCCUGGGGAGGGUGGAGGUUGGGUGUGGUAGAGAUGUAUAUUAUUUGGUUCAUGGGCUUUUUCUACCACCAAUUUUGGUAUUUUUUUUUUUUUUGGUUUCUUGGUUUGGUUUGUUUUUUUUUUUAUGUAGUUCAGACUGACUUUGGACUCUCUAAAUAGCCCAGAUUGGCCUCAAAUUUGUGGUGAUCUUCCUGCCUCAGCCCCUGGGAUUACAGAGUGCUGAAUAAUACAUACUUUUUAAAAUAUGGAUGAAGAACCAGAAAGAACUAAGCGAUGGGAAGGAGGCUAUGAGAGAACUUGGGAAAUUCUUAAAGAAGAUGAAUCUGGCUCAGUUAAAGCUAUCAUAGAAGACAUUCUUUUCAAGGCAAAGAGAAAAAGAGUAUUUGAACACCAUGGACAAGUUCGACUUGGAAUGAUGCGCCACCUUUAUGUGGUGAUAGACGGAUCUUGGACAAUGGAGGACCAAGAUUUAAAGCCUAAUAGACUGACAUGUACAUUAAAGUUGUUGGGAGUACUUUAUAGAAGAGUAUUUUGAUCAAAAUCCUGUCAGUCAGACACAUGCCUGGACACACAAGUAGAGAAGUCCUCAUCAUCUUUAGCAGUCUUACAACUUGUGAUCCAUCGAAUAUAUAUGAUCUGAUUAAGAUCCUGAAAGCAGCUAAAAUCAGAGUGUCCGUCGUUGGGCUGUGGGCAGAGGUUCGGGUUUGCGCUGCACUUGCUCGGGAAACUGGAGGCAUGUACCAUGUGAUUUUAGAUGAAAGCCACUACAAAGAAUUGCUAACACAUCAUGUUAGUCCUCCUCCUGCCAGCUCAAGUUCUGAAUGCUCCCUUAUUCGUAUGGGCACCUGGAUAGCAGUUCUGAACCGGGACUUACAUUAGGAGGCUAUUUCUGCCCACAGUGUCAGGCAAAGUACUGUGAGCUUCCUGUUGAAUGUAAAAUAUGUGGUCUUUCUUUGGUCUCAGCUCCCCACUUGGCGCGGUCGUAUCAUCAUUUAUUUCCCUUGGAUGCUUUCAAGAAAUUCCCCUAGAAGAAUAUAAAGGGGAAAGAUUUUGUUAUGGAUGUCAGGGGCAACUGAAGGACCAACAUGUCUAUGUUUGCACUGUGUGCCAGAAUGUAUUUUGUGUGGACUGUGAUGUUUUUGUUCAUGACUCUCUCCACUGAGGUCCUGGCUGCAUUCAUAAGAUUCCAAUUCCUUCAGGUAUUUGAUUCCAGUAUGAGUACACAUAAUGUGUCAAAAAGAAAUUUGUGUUGGGCACACCCAUUAUCCCAGCACUCAGGAGGUUGAGGCAGCAGGAUCCUUGAGUUUGAGGCCAGCCAGGGUUACAUAGCAAGUUCAAGGCCACCAUGAACUACAUAACAAGACUCUGUCUCAAAAAAAAGAAAAGAUUUGAAACUAUAAGGUGAUUCUUUAGAAAAAGCUCCAAUUAAAACAUGAAGAACAGUUUAAGAGAAAAAUCUGAUAUAAGAAACUUUUUUGUGGCUGAGUGUAUUGGUACACACCAGUAAUCCCAGCACUUGGGAAGCUGAGGCAGGAAGAUAGCUGUGAGUGUGAGGCCACCCUGAGCUGCAUAGUGAACUCAAGGACAGUCUGAACUUCACAGCAAGAAAAAAAAGAAAAAAAAAACUUUUUUUCACAAGACUAUUAAGUUUUUGUUUCUUGUCACAAAAGGCCUAGAAUUCAUUAGUAUUUUAUUCAACAAAUUUUGUAUUAUUUAGAGUCAUGUGUUCAAAGUCCUUGUGCAUUACUAUGUGCAAAUUAUAACUGAAGUACAUUAAAUGUUUGUGAUUUAUUUUAAUUCAUUAAUUUAGUGUAAGAAGACAUUAAGAACACAUUGUAAGAGGUGGGAGUUAAGCUCAGAGGUGUAGGUUUCUCCUCGGCAAGGGUAAGAUGGUGAGUUUCAUUCCUGGUACCUAAACAAACAAACAAAAAACACAUUGUAAGAUGGAAGUUAUAUAAUAAUUAUGAAAUGUUAACACAUACGAAAUAAUGCACUGCUGCAUCCUCCAGAGUGUUCUGUUUGGACUUAAAAUAUUUGGAGUUCAAUUAUAAAAUCUGAAGUAAAGUUCUCUGGCUGUGACCAACAGGAGGCUUUUAGGUUUAACACACCAACUCACAAGCCCACACCACCCUUGGCACCAGUUCACAAGAAAGAGAUGAAAGGGAACCACAGCCUGGAGCAGGGCCACAUCGCAUCCCCUCCAUGGGGUCUGGACACAGCUUUGCAGGCAGGGGUCUCUUAACUGCGAGGCUGGCAUCUUCCCUCUACGAAGUCACAGGGCUUCCAUGCUUAAACAACAGUGGAAUUCCAAUGCCGUGGGAAAAGGUUUUGGCCUCUUUUAUGCGCUACACUGAUUGCUUUUAAAAUACCAUACAGAAUGCAGGAUGUUGGAUGCCACCAUUUUGGUUGGUUGUUACCUGAGUCUUGCUUGUGUAGUUCAGGCAAAUGAAACCAAAGUUGAGAUAUCUUCCUGUUUGAACCUCACUGAGUGUUUAAUUAUUGCCUUCCAUUAUUCUGCGCUGGGUCACUAGGGAAAUUUAGCUGAGAAGAUCUGUUUUUUUGUUUUUGUUUUGGCACCGGAGCUCGAACCUCAUGAUCAGGCAUUUGCAAAGCAGAUGCCUAUGCCGCUGAGCUAAAACCCUAGCUCCCAAAAUCUAUUUUUAGGUCCAGUGCAGCUGUAUUGUUGGUAGAACUCUUCAAGAUGUGCCCUGUUGAGAGUGAAUAAAGCUUCCAUUCCGUAACAAA